UACCCCCACAGUUACCCCCACAGGAUAAAGCAGCAUCAGUCUGACCUGGAGGAUGAUCUGUGAUACUGCAGCUCAGCACCAGGACCUCGGAUUUUCCGCAGCAGGGAUGGAAGAUUCUUCUAGAAGUUGUUGGAAACAGGAACUUUCUUGGACGGACUCUUCUCUCCCCCUGAAUCCAUCUCAUCUGUUCAUCACUGCCUUUUUGAUUUCUAUUCUUCUGAACAAACUCCAGACCACAAAAUAAAAACAUCCCCAAAAUGUUCUCCUGUUCGAUCACAGACUCUGGUGCUCCACGCCAACAUAUCGCCACAUGGAACAGUAGAGUUAAAUUCAGUGUUUUUAAAGAGCGUUGCAACCAUAGACUGUAAAUAUUAAUGGACAAAGCCUGAGUGACGUCACCCGU